rnacentral:rRNA from 1 species
UACGUAGGGGGCUAGCGUUGUCCGGAUUUAUUGGGCGUAAAGAGCGUGUAGGCGGCCAGGUAGGUCUGGUGUGAAAACUCGAGGCUUAACCUCGAGAUGUCAUCGGAAACCAUCUGGCUAGAGUCCGGAAGAGGAGAGUGGAAUUCCUGGUGUAGCGGUGAAAUGCGCAGAUAUCAGGAAGAACACCAAUGGCGAAAGCAGCUCUCUGGGACGGUACUGACGCUGAGACGCGAAAGCGUGAGGAGCGAACAGG